rnacentral:rRNA from 1 species
GAUUCAUCGGUAAGGGAUGGGCAUGCGUAGGAUUAGUUAGUUGGCGGGGUAACGGCCCACCAAGACUGUGAUCCUUAGGGGUUCUGAGAGGAAGGUCCCCCACACUGGCACUGAGAUACGGGCCAGACUCCUACGGGAGGCAGCAGUAGGGAAUAUUGGGCAAUGGGCGGGAGCCUGACCCAGCCAUGCCGCGUGCAGGAAGAAGGCGUUAUGCGUUGUAAACUGCUUUUAUACGGGAAGAAAAGGCCCAUGCGUGGGACAUUGCCGGUACCGUAUGAAUAAGCACCGGCUAACUCCGUGCCAGCAGCCGCGGUAAUACGGAGGGUGCAAGCGUUGUCCGGAUUUAUUGGGUUUAAAGGGUGCGUAGGCGGCCCGUUAAGUCAGCGGUGAAAGUCUGUGGCUCAACCAUAGAAGCGCCGUUGAUACUGAUGGGCUUGAGUGCCGUAUGGGUACAUGGAAUUGAUGGUGUAGCGGUGAAA